GAUGAAGAACGUAGCGAAAUGCGAUAAGUAAUGUGAAUUGCAGAAUUCAGUGAAUCAUCGAAUCUUUGAACGCACAUUGCGCCCGCCAGUAUUCUGGCGGGCAUGCCUGUUCGAGCGUCAUUUCAACCAUCAAGCCCUGCUUGCGUUGGGGUCCUGCGGCUGCCCGCAUGCCCUGAAAACCAGUGGCGGGCUCGCUAGUCACACCGAGCGCAGUAAUACAUCUCGCUUUGGGCGUGCGGCGGGUUCUUGCCGUUAAACACCCCCUUUUUACCAAGGUUGACCUCGGAUCAGGUAGGAAUACCCGCUGAACUUAAGCAUAUCAAUAAGCGGAGGA
rnacentral:misc_RNA from 1 species